UACGGAGGGGGCUAGCGUUGUUCGGAAUUACUGGCGUAAAAACGCACGUAGGCGGACCGGAAAGUCAGAGGUGAAAUCCCAGGGCUCAACCUUGGAACUGCCUUUGAAACUAUCGGUCUGGAGUUCGAGAGAGGUGAGUGGAAUUCCGAGUGUAGAGGUGAAAUUCGUAGAUAUUCGGAGGAACACCAGUGGCGAAGGCGGCUCACUGGCUCGAUACUGACGCUGAGGUGCGAAAGCGUGGGGAGCAAACAGGAUUAGAUACCCCGUGUC
rnacentral:rRNA from 1 species